rnacentral:rRNA from 1 species
CGGCGUGCCUAAUACAUGCAAGUCGAGCGGACAGAUGGGAGCUUGCUCCCUGAUGUUAGCGGCGGACGGGUGAGUAACACGUGGGUAACCUGCCUGUAAGACUGGGAUAACUCCGGGAAACCGGGGCUAAUACCGGAUGCUUGAUUGAACCGCAUGGUUCAAUUAUAAAAGGUGGCUUUUAGCUACCACUUACAGAUGGACCCGCGGCGCAUUAGCUAGUUGGUGAGGUAACGGCUCACCAAGGCAACGAUGCGUAGCCGACCUGAGAGGGUGAUCGGCCACACUGGGACUGAGACACGGCCCAGACUCCUACGGGAGGCAGCAGUAGGGAAUCUUCCGCAAUGGACGAAAGUCUGACGGAGCAACGCCGCGUGAGUGAUGAAGGUUUUCGGAUCGUAAAACUCUGUUGUUAGGGAAGAACAAGUACCGUUCGAAUAGGGCGGUACCUUGACGGUACCUAACCAGAAAGCCACGGCUAACUACGUGCCAGCAGCCGCGGUAAUACGUAGGUGGCAAGCGUUGUCCGGAAUUAUUGGGCGUAAAGCGCGCGCAGGCGGUUUCUUAAGUCUGAUGUGAAAGCCCCCGGCUCAACCGGGGAGGGUCAUUGGAAACUGGGGAACUUGAGUGCAGAAGAGGAGAGUGGAAUUCCACGUGUAGCGGUGAAAUGCGUAGAGAUGUGGAGGAACACCAGUGGCGAAGGCGACUCUCUGGUCUGUAACUGACGCUGAGGCGCGAAAGCGUGGGGAGCGAACAGGAUUAGAUACCCUGGUAGUCCACGCCGUAAACGAUGAGUGCUAAGUGUUAGAGGGUUUCCGCCCUUUAGUGCUGCAGCAAACGCAUUAAGCACUCCGCCUGGGGAGUACGGUCGCAAGACUGAAACUCAAAGGAAUUGACGGGGGCCCGCACAAGCGGUGGAGCAUGUGGUUUAAUUCGAAGCAACGCGAAGAACCUUACCAGGUCUUGACAUCCUCUGACAACCCUAGAGAUAGGGCUUCCCCUUCGGGGGCAGAGUGACAGGUGGUGCAUGGUUGUCGUCAGCUCGUGUCGUGAGAUGUUGGGUUAAGUCCCGCAACGAGCGCAACCCUUGAUCUUAGUUGCCAGCAUUCAGUUGGGCACUCUAAGGUGACUGCCGGUGACAAACCGGAGGAAGGUGGGGAUGACGUCAAAUCAUCAUGCCCCUUAUGACCUGGGCUACACACGUGCUACAAUGGGCAGAACAAAGGGCAGCGAAGCCGCGAGGCUAAGCCAAUCCCACAAAUCUGUUCUCAGUUCGGAUCGCAGUCUGCAACUCGACUGCGUGAAGCUGG